rnacentral:rRNA from 1 species
AGCCGCGGUAAUUCCAGCUCUCAAAAUGCAUAGAAUUAUUGCUGCGGUUAAAAAGCUCGUAGUUGGAUCUAGUGCCAGCAUGCCGGUCCAUCUUCGGAUGCGUACUGGUUCAUUGCCGGCUUUCCUGCAGUUUUGUCCGGCUCUGUGCCCUUCACUGGGCGCAGUUGUUCGGUGCUGCAAGUUUACUUUGAACAAAUCAGAGUGCUCUAAACAGGCGUUUCGCUUGAAUGUUCGUGCAUGGAAUAAUAGAAGAGGAUUUCGGUUCUAUUUUAUUGGUUUUAUAGACUGAGAUAAUGGUUAACAGAGACAAACGGGGGCAUUCGUAUUGCUACGUGAGAGGUGAAAUUCUUGGACCGUAGCAAGACGAACUACAGCGAAAGCAUUUGCCAAGAAUGUCUUCAUUAAUCAAGAACGAAAGUCAGAGGUUCGAAGGCGAUCAGAUACCGCCCUAGUUCUAACCGUAAA